UUGACUUAAACACAUUCAUUCUUCCUAAAGCUUUUAAAAGAAGCAGAGCUUUCAAGAUCAAAGAUAUUCAUACAACACCUGUACUAACACUAUUUUCAGUCGUUAUUGACCAUUCUUUGUGAUAUUGUUUUAUGCAGGUGCCUUUCCAGUGAGCUCUUUAGAAUGUAAAGGAGUACGAAAAAUAAGCAUACAGAGCAUCUGUGUAUCUUUUUAUCACACUUUAAAAAGCAGAGCUUGUUGACAAAUGAAAAAAAAAGCACCAUUUUCGAGACAUAAGCCGGAGAGACUCAAGGAUAGAAACAAAUACACGCAUUAAAGAAACAGUUAUACUUUGGAGCAAAUGCUAGCUGAACUCAAUGACAAUUACACACCUAAUCAGGAGAUAGAAGAUCUAUUGAACAGAAUAAAUCCACUUUCUUGUGCAAAUGAAUCUGGAUUUAUUUGUUUCUUAAAGAGGAAACAUAUAUUUCUCUUCAGGACAAGAUAUAAAGGACAGUAGUUAUUUUAAAGGAAAGGGGAGACAACAGGAUAAUCCAGUCCCAGAAUGAGUGCCCAGAUACCAGGCACUGUAUGUGAAAACUGAAUAUUCAUAACCAUGUGCUUGAAGGGGAACAGACUGCACACUAGUUAGAGAGAAAAUACUCAUCAGAAAUUGGUGUGAUGCAGGUUCUGUCUUGCUGAUAGCACCACGAGAAGUGUGGCCCCGUGUGGAGUUGUGUCCUUUUGUGUCAAUUCUGGCUUAGCAGUAGCUGAACACAAUGAGAAAACCAGUGAAAGUAAAAUCUACUGCAGUCCCUGCAUGCAGCAAUAAAGAUGCAGAGGACCAUAAGGAGAUGGGGAGGGAGAUGUUCCCGCAGUGUCAAAAGCAGGGGUUGUGUUCCCGGAGCUGAACAUCUGUAACGCUCCAGACGUUAGAGAUGCAUGAAUUCUUCCAAAAGAGGGCAGAAGCAGCAUUUACAGAGUCCCCUUGACAAAUAUAUUACCUUCCCCCAAUUGCGGUCUUCUGUCUCUCAGUAUUUCAGAAUACAAACCUCUACCUCUAUAAAACAAACUGCAAGAACCGCCAGGAAACUUCACAAAUACUACAACACCUCCACAACACUGCAAAUUGCAAAAUGUGUCAAAAGUCUAAAUGCAAAUAGUCUUCCUGAUGACAAACUCCAGUGGGGAAAAUACAGACUGCAAAAUGGAUGGAGUACCAAAGGUUAUUUUCAGCCCCUAAUAUUCUUAUUGUUUCAUUGUGCUUUCAGUUUGCACAGUUUAAUAAUAGUUUAAUAAAAAGUCUGAGGAAGAGUGUGAGUUUGUGUAUAGCCUCUAGGUAAAAGAAAGUCAGAGGAAUAAAGAGGUGGUGGCCAGAAGGGUAUGAUGUUAUGUAGCCACAUGUAACCACUGUAGUAUUUUUUGGACAUUCCAGGCAAUAAGAUUAGACCCAAUGUGUCACCUUACCCCGAAGGAGUGGAAUCAUUAAAAAUAAGGCUGGAAGGGACCACAGGAGGUAAUUUAGUCCAGCACCCUGCCCUAAGGUGGGAUCAUGUCUACCUGCGUCAUUUCUGACAGAUGUUUGUCCAACCUCUUCUGAAAAACCUACAUAUGAUCAUCUCUGCCAGGUACCCAGGCAGAUUUCUUGCAUGUUUGGCAAUGCUUGAGGAGCCUGUCAAACCAACCAAGACUCAUUGAAUUGACAGUUAGAGAAAGAGACAGAGAAAAAGAAAGAUAUAUAUGUCCUUGCAGGACAAGAGAAAUUGUAGUCAUUCUUAUAUUACUAUCUUACCAGGCAAAGAAUUCAUUCCAGUUGUUUGGAUUUUUUUAAAAGCUCUGUUUAGGUAAAAUAUGCAUAGUUUGUUCUCCAGGCCAUCAAAACUUGGCUUUGACAAGCAAAUGCAGAAACUGAAGUACAUAUAUGUGGAAGAAUUUUGUGGUCAAUCUUAGAACUUUCGAGCCUAAUUUGGAGGACAAUGUCUACACCUACAUGCAUAUUUUGAAGAUCCAUUUUUAUGUGGUUAAGAUAUUGAGAGAACAAUUCACCAUGUUUUACCAUAAUGUCGGCUAUAUGAAUUCUCUUUCAAGAUGCAGAUCAAUAUAGCUUUCUAUAGCACUCCACUGACAAAUGGGUGAGAAAAGCUAGCACAUGGCUUUGUGACUGCUGCCUUUUGAUGGUGUUAGGUUGCCUCAUCAGAGUAACCAGGAAGGACCCACCGAGCCAGUAUGAGAUUUAAACUACAAGUAGACUCAUCUGUGUGCUGGAAAAUUUGAAAUGUUGGGAGGGAAAUACUGAUCAAUUUUGAA